AGAUUGAACGCUGGCGGCAGGCCUAACACAUGCAAGUCGAGCGGUAGAGAGGUGCUUGCACCUCUUGAGAGCGGCGGACGGGUGAGUAAUGCCUAGGAAUCUGCCUAGUGGUGGGGGAUAACGUUCGGAAACGGACGCUAAUACCGCAUACGUCCUACGGGAGAAAGCGGGGGACCUUCGGGCCUCGCGCCAUUAGAUGAGCCUAGGUCGGAUUAGCUAGUU
rnacentral:rRNA from 1 species